UUACGGCCACAUCACGUGAAAAAACCGGUUCCUGUAUGAUCACCGAAGUUAAGCAACGUAGCUUAGUACUUAGAUGGGUGACUGCUUGGGAAUACGAGG